CGGGGCGUGGCUCAGCCCGGUUAGAGCGCCUGGUUCGGGACCAGGAGGUCGCCGGUUCGAAUCCGGCCGCCCCGACUA
rnacentral:tRNA from 1 species